rnacentral:lncRNA from 1 species
AUUAACUGGCAUGAAAGUUCUCAACAUCGCUGGAAAUAAUUUUUCUGGCUCUCUUCCAACCACUAUUGCUGACAUGAUUUCACUCGAAACCUUGGAUAUGUCAGAGAAUCACUUCACUGGUCCUCUACCAAAUAACAUGCCGAAUGGCCUCAACAACUUUAAUGUUUCACAAAAUGAUCUGUCUGGAGUUGUUCCAGAAGAUCUUAGAAAGUUCACUAGUUCUUCUUUCUUUCCAGGGAAUGCUAAGUUACAUUUUCCAAAUGGUCCUCCUGGAUCAACCGCUUCGUCACCUGAAAGUUCCAAGAGGAAACAUAUGAACACUAUCGUUAAAGUAAUAAUUAUAGUAUCAUGUGUGGUUGCUCUCUUCAUAUUAAUCUUGCUUGCUAUCUUCAUACACUACAUACGUAUAUCAAGAUCUUCACCGGAAUAUGAUACAAGUAAAGAUAUCCAUGGACGUGCUCAACCAAUCAUCUCUGGCCCCAUCCCUGUUCGUACAUCAGAAAGGGGUGGUGCUUUGGUUGUAUCAGCUGAGGACCUUGUGACCUCACGUAAAGGAUCACCGUCAGAGGCAAUCAGCCCCGAUGAAAAAAUGGCAGCUGUAACUGGUUUCUCUCCAUCUAAAGUCAGCCGCUUUUCGUGGUCACCAGAGUCUGGUGAUUCACUUCCUGCUGAAAAUCUUGCAAGGCUAGACACAAGAUCCCCGGAUAGGUUGGUUGGAGAGCUGCAUUUUCUUGAUGAUACAAUAGCAUUGACACCCGAGGAGCUGUCAAGGGCUCCGGCUGAAGUUUUGGGCAGAAGCAGUCAUGGUACUUCUUACAAAGCAACUCUGGACAAUGGUUUAUUGUUGAGAGUAAAGUGGUUGAGAGAAGGAGUAGCGAAACAGAGAAAAGAAUUUGUUAAAGAGAUUAAAAAGUUUGCAAACAUCAGACAAGGGAUUAAGAAAUAAUAUUUUUAUUAUUGUUUAAAUUCUUCAACCAAUUUUCUAGCUUAAAUUAUCAAUUUUUGUGUGAUUGUAGUGUUACAUAUGUUACGUUACUAAAUUGUUAUUAAGUUAGUAUUAUAUAUGUUAUUAGUUACUAAAAUGUUUUCUAAUGUCUUAUGAUUUGGAACAUAUUUUCCAAUUUUUGUGAUAUUGAGUUUGAAACUAACAUAUAUCAUAUAUAUUGUUAUACAUGUAUUGUUACAUGUGUUACUAAUUAUGAAAUGUAAGGUUAUAAAUGUAACUAUUAUAUAUUUUACUAAUUGAUAUAUAUGUUACUAAUCAUGAAGUGUAUUGUUAUAUAUGAUUCAUAAUUUUUUAUAAUAAUAGUAGUAGUAAUGUUUAUCCUUUUAUGAUAAACAAUAUAUCUUGUAAUACAUUUUGAAUUUUCAAUUGAUAAAAUAUUUUUUAUAUAAAAAGUAAAUGUAAAAACCGUGGAACCAAACCGAACUGAACCAUUCAAGAGCGGUUUGGUUCGGUUUGGUUCUUAUAGUUAAAGUUGCGGUUAAUUGAGCGGAACCGAACCAUAUGUUUUUGAUCGGUUCGGUCACUAAAAUGCACCAAAAACCAAACCGAACCGAAUUUUUACACCCCUACACUAAACGAUGUAAGAAAAGGAAAAAUUAGCUUAGCAAUACUUAUGAGUCAUUAUUAUGUGCAUUUAGUUAGCUUUUCCCAUUACAAAUGUGUUUUUUGGAAAUUAGUGUAAAAGAAAUAUACAGUAUUAUUUGUAUUUAAAAUUUUAUUAUAUAAAAUAUGAAUAGUAAAAAUCUCUUAUAGAAUAAGUGUAUACAUAUUUUUCAACUUUCUUUUAGUUACUACAUAUACUUGAUGGAGUGAGAUAGAGGAGUGAAAAAAAAGUUGAGAAAAAAGGAAAAAAAUAUAAUUAUAUUUAUAUUUGAGAUAUAUUUUAAAAAUAUGUCUGCUUAUAUUUAUGUUUUAAAUUUUAUGGACUUAAUAAAAUGAAUAAAUAAGAUUUUAAAAAAUAUAUGUAUUUUCCUCUUUAAACAAGUAGGGUUUAAGCUUCCUAUAUAUAAAAAAUAUUUAUUAAAAGAGCUAAAAUCAAUAUAUUGCAGUUAUUAUAAACUAAAAAAAGAGUUAUUUUUUGUGGAAGAUAUGUGAUACUAAGAAAAACUAAAUAAAGUUUUGAGUAAGUGUUUACUGAAUAAUAAGUGGCUCAAAAUAUAGGAUUGUUUUGUAAUUCUUUAUUUUUUUGGGUAUGACAAUAUACUGUCCAUUUAAGUCUCCCCUCUUCAUUCUGCUGCUGUUCAUUCUAAUUUUUCUAUGAUGUAUUGAAAAUCAUAAUUUCCCUUGCAUGUGAGAUGCAUCUCUACAUGGAGAAAAAAAGAUGAAAAAUAUGUUAUUUCUCCAUAGAAUUAGAAAUGGAUAAUUUAUAAUAAUGGUAAUAAUGUAAAGAUUUAUACACAGUUUGUAUACGUUCAUUAUUUAUUUAUAUUAUUAUAUUUAAAAGUCAAUAAUGAUCUAAUUUGAGUGAUAAAUGAUAUAAUAACAAUGUAACAAACUUUUACAUUGUCGGUGUAUAUUUUUCUUAUCUAUUGACCAAAAAUAGAAAUUAAGGAAAUUAUUGGGAGAUCUUCAUUCAUGAGCUAUAUCAUUCUUUCAUAGGUUUGACCACACACAUUAAUAUAAAACUUUAAGGCAUUAAGUCUAUAUGUCCAUUCGUCUAUAUGCUUUUAACUCAUCAACUUUUACGCAAUGCAGGACUUCCUCAAGUGAGUAACUCCUCUUUGAAUAUCGGAAACACUAGAGUUGAGCUCUCUAUCUACUUGUGACCACUUGUCGCUUCAAUACUUGGUUGAUCUGUCAAACCGUCGGUUCUGAUACCACUUGUUGGGAAAUCUUCAUCCACAUGCUAUGACAUUCUUCCCUGAGCUAAGCGAAAGAAAUAUAUAAGUGAGUUUGACACUGCAUUUUGACCCAAAACCUUAAGACAUUAAGUUUAUGAGCCUACUCGCUUAUAGGCUCUUCAACUCAUUCACUUUUAUACAAUACAAAUAUUCUUCAUUCACAUUUGGAAUAUCGAAUAAAAAUAAACAUUAGAUAAGUAGUUGUAGAUGUCACAUAGUGAACUCCUAAAUUGUUGUUUUGCAUUAGCUAUUAACUCAACAUGUGUUGUGAAGGUGGACAUGUAAUAGUUACAAAUAAACUUGACAUACUAUGUUAUUCAAAUCCCAUAAUCAUUUUUUAAGAAAGAUUUUACCUUACCAUCACCUUCAACCAUUAAACAAUUAAUACCCAAAAGAUAAUGAUAAAAACACAAACAAAACUCUUGUUAAAUAUUUAAAAAAAAAGAAUUAAAUGGAAAAUUUAAGCUUAGAUUUUUAAUUUUCAUUUAAUGCUUAAUCAAUUUGUUGGUCAACAUAAUUAUCUAAACUGUUCUGAAAAAUUAGUUGAGAAAUGUCAAAAUACAAAAUUUUGUGUUGCAAUUAUAGCUUCCAUGCCAUGCUUUAGGGCAUAGCAUUAGGACCCUUGGCCCAUGUUACCAACCCCUUAACCCAUUACCAUUAUUCUUCCACCAACUUCACUUCUUCAAUUAAUUUUUUUUGGAAUGAGUGAUCAAAACAAGAAACCCUAGUCAAAGGGGUAGUGGUGACUCAUCACUCCUACAUGGCACAUUGUUGACACAGCUUCCAAUCCAACCUCUCUUACACAAAAAAUAUUUAACCCCAUCUCAAAAAAUCUUUUCACAUCCACUAUGAAAGUGAAAGAUUCUCUACUUUUUUGGCUGGUAAAUCCCUAAUUUUGCAGGCACCAUUUAUUUAGCCUCAAAAGGAUGUAAUAAUAAAACUAAAAAAGAUAACUUUAUCUUAAAACCUUUCACAAAUUAACAAUUCAGGUUUUUGUUUUAAAGGUUAUUCAUUGUCACAUGCUAAAAAGACACACUUAAAAAAAGGACAAAGGUACUCUUUUUUUAAGGUUAUGUUGUCACCCUGCAUUAAUGUAAAAUAUUGGGGUUAAUUAAUUGAAUGUGAAUCUAUGUACCAGUAAUGUUAAAUUUAAGUAUAGUUACUAUAUUAUUCAUUCUUUUUUUAUAUUACUUUUAUCAUAUAAGAGUUAACAAUGAUCAACGAUAAAUGAUAAAUAAUAUAAUAAUAUUAUAAAAAACUCUUUGCAUAAAUCUUUUUCUCUAAUUAACUUUAUAUCAUAAUCUAAGUUUUUUUACAACUUUACUAAAACAAAUUAACACUCCUUUUUGGGUUGAAAAAAAGACCUUCAUCCUUCAAUCUAAGCUUUGAAGAACCAAAAAUAAAUUAUGGGUCCAUUUCCCUUUAUUGCACUGUGGAUGUCAAUUUGGGUACUCAUUCUUCUUUCCUCCACUAGUUGUUUGUAGCUGCAUUAACUUCUAGAGUUUCUGAAGUUCUAAUCUUUGUAUUAAGCUCUAACUUCUGCUUCUAAAGUUUGAUACUUGGUGGUAGUGGACUAGUGGUUUAUGCUGAAGUCUACAUUGUGCUAAAGAAAGUGGUUUAGGUAAGAAAGUUUGUAUUUUUAUGUGUUCAGAUCUCUGAAACCUCACUCAUUGUGUCUGGUUCAUUUAAGUGCAUUGAUGUUUUUGUUUACACUGUGCAAGUGGUUGUCUCUUCUUAUUUCUUAACCUGCAUUGCACUCCUAAAUUAUUAUUAUUAGGAAAAAAAAUUCUCUUGAAGAAUCUAUUUUCCCAUCAUUUGGUGUUUGUAAAGCAUAAAUUUUCUGUCUUGGUGAAAAAUUUGAUUUUUUUUAAUAAUUUUUCAAAAUCUAGUUUUGGGUUUAUAAUUUCUUAUAAUAUGCUUUCUUUUUUUAAGGGUAGGUAGCUGGUGGUUCUGAAGAAUGGUUGAUGCUUCUGUAGGUUUUGGAUGUAAAUAUGUCCUUCACUUAGUGUGGAUUGAGGAGCUUAAGGACCUAAGUUCUCUUCUUUUUUGGAGGUUGAGCUUGAUUCUACUCUAAGUUGGUGCUUUCUUUUAAAAGGGUAUCAUGGCAUCUAAAUUGUACUUCUUUGUUGGUGGGUUUGGAAAGUAGCUCCUAUCAUUUGAAGUAUAAGAUUGAAAGUUCCUUUUCUUUUUUCACUUGAGUGUGAACCACACAUAGCUAAACAUUGAUAUAUUCAUAGAACAAAAUGAAGCUCUUUAGCCUUUUAGUGUUAUCAUUAUCUUUCUUCUCAGUUAUGGGGCAGUUACCAUCACAGGACAUUUUAGCAUUGCUGGAAUUUAAGAAAGGCAUAAGGCAUGACCCUACUGGUUAUGUUCUCAAUUCCUGGAAUGAGGAAUCCAUUGACUUUGAUGGAUGCCCAUCUUCAUGGAAUGGAGUUCUAUGUAAUGGCGGUAACGUUGCGGGCGUUGUCCUUGAUAACCUCGGUCUCUCUGCUGAUGCUGAUUUGAGUGUUUUUUCAAACCUCACAAAGCUUGUGAAGCUAUCCAUGUCCAACAAUCUCAUAUCAGGAAAUGUACCUGACAACAUUGGUACUUUCGAAAGCCUUCAAUUCCUGGAUAUCUCGAAUAACCUCUUUUCUUCAUCCUUACCAUCGGGAAUUGGUAACUUAGGUAGUUUGCAGAAUCUGUCAUUGGCUGGAAAUAACUUCGCUGGCCUAAUUCCUGACACUAUUUCAAAAAUGGCUUCUGUCCAGUCCUUGGACUUGAGCCGUAACUCCUUUUCUGGAGCAAUGCCAGCAUCAUUGACUAAGCUGAAAAGCUUGGUAUCUCUUAACUUGUCCCAUAACAGCUUCACUGGGAAAAUUCCCGAAGGUUUUGCACUGAUGUCUACUCUUGAAAAACUUGACUUGCAUGGGAAUAUGCUCGAUGGUCAUUUAGAUGCCGAAUUUAUUCUUUUAUCUAGAGCCAGUUACGUCGAUUUCAGUGAUAAUAGGCUAGUGAGUUCUGAUUCCCAGAGGCAGAAGUUUCUACCGCAGAUAUCUGAAAGUAUUAAGCAUCUAAAUCUAAGUCAUAACUUGCUAACCGGGACAUUGGUUAGUGGAGCCGAGCAACCAGUUUUUGAAAACUUGAAGGUGUUGGACCUCAGCUACAAUAAUUUGGAUGGAGAAUUGCCUGGCUUUGAUUUUGUUUAUGAUCUCCAGGUCCUUAAGCUUAGCAGCAACAGAUUUUCAGGAUUUAUUCCUGAUGGCCUACUAAAAGGAGACUCUUUGGUUUUAACCGAACUGGAUUUGAGUGCCAACAAUCUCUCAGGUAGAAAGCCACUUCCACUUUUUCUUUUAAAAAACCCGUCUUAUUUUACUAGUCCUUACUCCUUAGCCUCAAUUACUAUUCGUCUAUUAAUAUUUAUGUUGUCUUUCAGGGCCACUAAGUAUAAUUACAUCAACGACGCUGCAUUUUCUUAAUCUCUCGUCAAAUGGAUUUACCGGUGAUCUGCCGCUUCUGACUGGAAGCUGUGCUGUACUUGAUCUGUCAAACAACAAAUUUGAAGGAAAUUUAACGAGGAUGGUGAAAUGGGGGAACAUAGAAUAUCUUGAUCUCAGUGUGAAUCAUUUAACAGGGAGCAUCCCUGAGGCAACUCCUCAAUUUUUGAGAUUGAAUUAUUUGAAUCUGUCACAUAAUUCUCUUAGCAGCUUCCUCCCGAGAAUCAUAACACAGUAUCCAAAGCUUAGAGUGCUUGACAUUAGUUUCAACCAGUUAGGUGGACUACUUCUAGCUGAUCUGCUCGCAAUGCCUACUUUGCACGAGCUCCACCUUGAAAAUAAUAUGAUCUCUGGCAGCAUUAAUUUAUCGUCUCCUUCUGGUCAUUCCAAUCUUCAAAUUCUCGACCUUUCUCACAACCGGUUUAAUGGCUAUUUUCCUGACCAGUUUGGGUCAUUAACUGGCAUGAAAGUUCUCAACAUCGCUGGAAAUAAUUUUUCUGGCUCUCUUCCAACCACUAUUGCUGACAUGAUUUCACUCGAAACCUUGGAUAUGUCAGAGAAUCACUUCACUGGUCCUCUACCAAAUAACAUGCCGAAUGGCCUCAACAACUUUAAUGUUUCACAAAAUGAUCUGUCUGGAGUUGUUCCAGAAGAUCUUAGAAAGUU